rnacentral:lncRNA from 1 species
GAUAGAUAGUGUUUAUUGUAGUGGAAAGAGGAGAUCAUGAAAGCAUUUCUUAGGUGAGCGGCUUCAAAUAGGUCAACAAUCCUUUCAGCCACAAAAGAGUUAAAUGACAAAGGGACAGAUGAAUUUAUAAUUGACACAAGGCAAAGGUACACAGGGGAAGGAAGAGAUUCUCAGGGAACUGGAAGCAUCAGAACUCUUGCAGGCCUUAAGGAUAUUCAGAGUGCCAUCAAAGAGCGAUAGAAAGGAAACAGAAAGGAUGUGCUAAAGAGAGAUAGAAGGAAAGCUCAAAGAAGCAUUGAUCAGGGAUGUGUAGGCGAGAGUGUCAGAGAUGCUGAGCAACCUUUUGAUCCAAUCCAUUCUGGUUUGUCUGGAUGGUGAAGGCUCGGCAUUCCUGACACCAUACAAUCAUAGAAUUCUAGAGUUGGAAGGGACCACAAGGGCCAUCAAGUCCAACCCUCUGCAAUGCAGGAAUCUCAACUACAGCAUCCAUGACAAAUGGCCAUUAGACGUUGAUCCAUGGUGUGCAUUUCAGGUACCAUUCCCCACACCCCGUUCCUGUGGGGGAUCACAAUCCCAUUCGAAAGAGAGACAAGCUCAUCUUCGUCUCAGUAUAGGAACUGUCGCUGGAUGA